rnacentral:snoRNA from 2 species
CCCUUCUCAGGAUCGCACCUGAAGAGUUUCCAGUACUCUACCAGUCUCGGCUAUGGGAGGGAGACUCAAACAGAGGCCUACCCAUUCCAUUCCUAGCUUGGCCAAUGGCUGGCGAGUGGAGGGCAAUCUGCUGUAAGU